CCUACGGGUGGCAGCAGUGAGGAAUUUUGGGCAAUGGGCGAGAGCCUGAACCAGCAAAGUAGCGUGAUGGAUGACUGCCCUACGGGUUGUAAACUUCUUUUAUAAAGGAAUAAAGUGAGGCACGUGAGCCUUUUAGUAUGUACUUACUGCAUAAGGAUCGGCUAACUCAGUGCCAGCAGCCGAGGUAAUACGGAGGAUCCGAGCGUUAUCCGGAUUUAUUGGGUUUAAAGGGAGCGUAGAUGGGUUGUUAAGUCAGUUGUGAAAGUUUGCGGCUCAACCGUAAAAUUGCAAUUGAUACUGGUAGUCUUGAAUACAGUUGAGGUAGACGGAAUUCGUGGUGUAGCGGUGAAAUGCUUAGAUAUCACGAAGAACUCCGAUUGCGAAGGCAGCUUACUAAGCUGCCACUGACAUUGAUGCUCGAAAGUGUGGGUAUCAAACGGGAUUAGAUACCCGAGUAGUC
rnacentral:rRNA from 1 species